UACGAAGGGGGCUAGCGUUGUUCGGAUUUACUGGGCGUAAAGCGCGCGUAGGCGGAUCUGCAAGUCGGGGGUGAAAUCCCGAGGCUCAACCUCGGAACUGCCUUCGAUACUGCGGGUCUCGAGUCCGGGAGAGGUGAGUGGAAUUCCUAGUGUAGAGGUGAAAUUCGUAGAUAUUAGGAAGAACACCAGUGGCGAAGGCGGCUCACUGGCCCGGUACUGACGCUGAGGCGGCGAAAAGCGUGGGGAGCAAACAGG
rnacentral:rRNA from 1 species